rnacentral:rRNA from 1 species
UACGUAGGUGGCAAGCGUUGUUCGGAAUUACUGGGCGUAAAGGGCUCGUAGGUGGCCAUGUAAGUCAGGAGUGAAAGCCCUGGGCUCAACCCAGGAAGUGCUCUUGAUACUGCAUGGCUUGAAUGUGGGAGAGGGUAGUGGAAUUCCAGGUGUAGUGGUGAAAUACGUAGAUAUCUGGAGGAACACCGGUGGCGAAGGCGGCUACCUGGCCCAACAUUGACACUGAGGCCCGAAAGCGUGGGGAUCAAACAGG